GACAGAGGUGCCAAGCGUUAGGCGGAAUCACUGGGCUUAAAGCGUGUGUAGGCGGAUUCCUAAGUACCUUGUGAAAUCCCACGGCUCAACCGUGGAACUGCUCGGUAUACUGGGUGUCUUGAGCCACUUAGGGGCGACCGGAACAAAUGGUGGAGCGGUGAAAUGCGCAGAUAUCAUUUGGAACGCCAAUGGUGAAAACAGGUCGCUGGGAGUGUGCUGACGCUGAGACACGAAAGCCAGGGGAGCAAACGGG
rnacentral:rRNA from 1 species